rnacentral:rRNA from 1 species
GAUGAACGCUGGCGGCGUGCCUAAUACAUGCAAGUCGAGCGAAUGGAUUAAGAGCUUGCUCUUAUGAAGUUAGCGGCGGACGGGUGAGUAACACGUGGGUAACCUGCCCAUAAGACUGGGAUAACUCCGGGAAACCGGGGCUAAUACCGGAUAACAUUUUGAACCGCAUGGUUCGAAAUUGAAAGGCGGCUUCGGCUGUCACUUAUGGAUGGACCCGCGUCGCAUUAGCUAGUUGGUGAGGUAACGGCUCACCAAGGCAACGAGGCGUAGCCGACCUGGCAGGGUGAUCGGCCCCCCUGGGACGAAGACACGGCCCAGACUCCUCCGGGAGGCAGCAGUAGGGAAUCUUCCGCAAUGGGCGAAAGUCUGACGGAGCAACGCCGCGUGAGUGAUGAAGGCUUUCGGGUCGUAAAACUCGGUUGUUAGGGAAGAACAAGUGCUAGUUGAAUAAGCUGGCACCUUGACGGUACCUAACCAGAAAGCCACGGCUAACUACGUGCCAGCCGCCGCGGUAA